rnacentral:rRNA from 1 species
UAAAUAAACCAAACACCAAAAACUAAACCAUUCUUUUUACCUGAGUAUGGGAGACAGAAAAGGUUCAACCAAAGCAAUAAAAAUAGUACCGCAAGGGAAAGCUGAAAGAGAAAUGAAAUAACCCAUAUAAGCAACAAAAAGCAAAGACUAAACCUUGUACCUUUUGCAUCAUGAUUUAGCCAGUAAACGCAAGCAAAGAGACCUUUAGUUUGAAACCCCGAAACCAGGUGAGCUACCCCGAGACAGCCUAUUAGGGCCAACCCGUCUCUGUGGCAAAAGAGUGGGAAGAACUCCGGGUAGAAGUGACAGACCUACCGAACCUGGUGAUAGCUGGUUACCUAAGAAAUGAAUAGAAGUUCAGCCUCGCACGCCUCAAAUCAAAUAAACAUAUAUUAAAAUAUUAAGAGAAAAACACGAGAGUUAGUUGAAGGGGGUACAGCCCCUUUAACAAAGGAUACAACCUUGCCAGGAGGAUAAAGAUCAUAAUAUACAAAAUAUACUGUUCUAGUGGGCCCAAAAGCAGCCACCUAAACAGAAAGCGUUAAAGCUCAGACAGAAAAAAAUUUAUUAUUUAGAUAAAAAAUCUUACUCCCCUAAACACUAUUAGGCCAACCCAUGCCCCCAUGGAAGAAAUUAUGCUAAAAUGAGUAACAAGAAGACCCACUCUUCUCCCAGCACAAGUGUAAGCCAAAUCGGACCAACCAUUGGCAACUAACGAACUCAAUCCAAGAGAGUAAUGCGAGCCACAAAAAAAACAAGAAAAGCCCACAACCAAAUAAUCGUUACCCCCACACUGGAGUGCCGCCCAUGGGAAAGACUAAAAGAAAAGGAAGGAACUCGGCAAACACAAGCCCCGCCUGUUUACCAAAAACAUCGCCUCCUGUAACACACUACAUAUAAGAGGUCCAACCUGCCCAGUGACUACAAGUUCAACGGCCGCGGUAUUUUGACCGUGCAAAGGUAGCGCAAUCACUUGUCUUUUAAAUAAAGACCUGUAUGAAUGGCCAAACGAAGGCUUAACUGUCUCCCCUUUCAAGUCAGUGAAAUUGAUCUAUCCGUGC